UGCUGAUCCUGUUUGUUGGCCUUUUCAGACUGGAAGAAUAUGGCGAGUGGCCAGUAGACACCAGUUGAAAACAGGAGAACAAGAGCUGCCAACUGGGAGGAAGAGGAGAGGCUGGGUGUUACUGCAGGUGAAGAGAAUGAAGAUGACUGGAAACAGCCGCUGUAGAAAGAGAGGGCACUCCUCCCAGGGAAACAGAAGUUUUCUGGAGCUGUGAAAUCCCUCAGGGGCUGUGGCCUCUCUCCUGCAUCAACCACCAUCAGAAUUAUCCACCAUCAGCAAGCAUUUGGACCCUGCAAGU